rnacentral:rRNA from 1 species
UACGUAGGGAGCAAGCGUUGUCCGGAAUCAUUGGGCGUAAAGCGCGCGUAGGUGGCCUCAUAAGUCCGUUGUGAAAGUCAAAGGCUCAACCUUUGAAAGCCGAUGGAUACUGUGAGACUAGAGUACGGAAGAGGCGAGUGGAAUUCCUGGUGUAGCGGUGGAAUGCGCAGAUAUCGGGAGGAACACCUAUGGCGGAAGGCAGCUCGCUGGGACGUUACUGACGCUGAGACGCGAAAGCGUGGGGAGCAAACAGG